UACGAGGGGGGCAAGCGUUGUUCGGAAUUAUUGGGCGUAAAGGGUGCGUAGGCGGUCUGACAAGUCUGAUGUGAAAAUCUAUGGGCUCAACCCAUAGCCUGCAUCGGAAACUGUCGGGCUUGAGUAUGGGAGAGGUGAGUGGAACUUCCGGUGGAGCGGUGAAAUGCGUUGAGAUCGGAAGGAACGCCCGUGGCGAAAGCGAGGUCCUGGACGCCUACUGACGCUGAGACGGCGAAAAGCCAGGGGGAGCCGGAACGGG
rnacentral:rRNA from 1 species